rnacentral:rRNA from 1 species
CAUCGCCUCUUGCAAAAUCAAUAAAUAAGAGGUCCCGCCUGCCCUGUGACUAUAUGUUUAACGCCGCGGUAUUUUGACCGUGCGAAGGUAGCGCAAUCACUUGUCUUUUAAAUGGAGACCUGUAUGAAUGGCACAACGAGGGCUUAACUGUCUCCUUUCCCAAGUCAAUGAAAUUGAUCCCCCCGUGCAGAAGCGGGGAUAUGCCCAUAAGACGAGAAGACCCUAUGGAGCUUUAGACACUAAAACAGCUCAUGUUAAAAACCCUCACCACAAGAGGCCAAACCAGAUGACCACUGUCCUAAUGUCUUCGGUUGGGGCGACCACGGGGAAACAAAAAACCCCCACGCGGAACAGAAACACUUGUUUCCAAAACCAAGAGUUCCCACUCUAAGUAACAGAACCAUCUGACCUUUAAGAUCCGGCAUAAGACCGAUCAACGGACCGAGUUACCCUAGGGAUAACAGCGCAAUCUUCUUCAAGAGCCCAUAUCGACGAGAAGGUUUACGACCUCGAUGUUGGAUCAGGACAUCCUAAUGGUGCAGCCGCUAUUAAGGGUUCGUUUGUUCAACGAUUAAAGUCCUACGUGAUC